UACGAAGGGGGCUAGCGUUGCUCGGAAUCACUGGGCGUAAAGCGCACGUAGGCGGACUCUUAAGUCGGUGGUGAAAUCCUGGAGCUCAACUCCAGAACUGCCUUCGAUACUGGGAGUCUCGAGUCCGAGAGAGGUGAGUGGAACUGCGAGUGUAGAGGUGAAAUUCGUAGAUAUUCGCAAGAACACCAGUGGCGAAGGCGGCUCACUGGCCCGGUACUGACGCUGAGGUGCGAAAGCGUGGGGAGCAAACAGG
rnacentral:rRNA from 1 species